CAGGAUGGCUGUGAGCGGGCAGAACAGCCCCUGGCUGGACAGACCCCAUUCAGCUGGACCCUUGAGCUGGAGUCCCACAGUGCGCUCCCACCCCACACGGCAGUUCCACUGCAGGCUUGGGAGAGUAGCCCCAUCAAGCCCAUACCUGAGGCAGACCACGCUGUGUGAUCCUCCAAGAAGGCAAAUAAUUUCUUCUGUCAAUGGCUAUGAUUCCCCGGAAGAUAUUGAUGCAUUUGGGAGUAUAAUUUGGCAGAGGAAGGAGAUAACCUGAAACCACAGGCUGCCCUAAACACUCUAUUAUGAACAAAGAGAAAACAGCUGAAUUGAGUUGGAGGAAAGCCUUGCUGAAUGAUAAAUUGCCAGACCCUUCGAGGCUCAGGAGGUUUCAGCCCAUUCACCCCAGCUGCAUUUUUAUGAAUACUUGAGGAAAGAACUUUGAAACUGAAAGACUCUGACUCAUGGUUUGACUGUCUGCAUUGGUUCCCAAAGGUGGCCUGAGUCUUAAGAAUCACAGCUGGGAAAUUUGCUGUGUGCAGAUCCCUAGGCCUGGGCCCUUUAUGAUGGUCUGCUGAUCCUCAUGCAAAAUUGAAUCAUCCAAAAACACUGCCAAUACUUGUGUUCCAACUUAAGCUAUGCAUUUAAUUUAAGAGUCAUGAUUCUAGAAAUUUCUCUUCUGACCAAGGAAGGCUAUUGUGAAUGCAAGAGAAAGCUUUGAGUCCACCUUGCAAGGCUAUGUGUCCUUUUAAGUUGUUUGUUCUUUGAGUUUGGGUUCUAGGGGCAUUUGUCUUGUUUUCUUCUUUUCACCAUCUUGGAAGUCUCUUGAGAGAGACAUUUCUACUCACCCCUCCAGGUCCUUGGUCAUUAGUGAGCAUGUACACCAUGUUUAAAAGACAGAAUCAAUGGCCAAAGACAAAUCUAGCAGAUGAAAAACAGAUAAAUCUACCAUAGCAAUUGAUUUGAAUGUUAUAGAAGCCCUUAACUUUAAAGGAAACUUUUCAGCAGAUGGGGAGAAGGUGCAGUGAUGUCAAAAGUAGCGGAAUUCAUCCUCUACAGAGAUUUAAGCCCUUCACAUGCACAAGGCUGGCUGCCUAUGCCAGCUGAACACUCAUGGGCAUAGCUGAUGCUUCUUCUUAAUCUCUUCUACUAUCUGCUGUUUGGGUUCAAACUUGACCUGAGCCCUAAUGACUGGAAGCCAUCACUUCAAAUUUGCAGAUAAAUGAUAUUAAUGUGUUUAAUACAUUCCAGAAAAACAAAAAUAAUAAAAUAUUUGUGGUUUUGAUGGAGGAAAACAGAUGAAACAUGAAUGUUACUGUGCUGAGGAUUCUUCAAGGUGAAUGGCUUCUGUGGAGAUAUCUUACCUUAUUUUUGUGUAUAUAGAAAAUGGCAAAGAAUGAAACACUGUAGAGGGAAAAAAAAGACACUGAAUUACUUCCUCACUACUCCUAGACACCAAACAAGCUUUCUGCUGCUUGCUAGAAUUUUCUGUGCUUUAAAAAAUGAUUUUGAAGAUAACAUUAACAAUAGCUUCAAAAAAUGCCUAUAAAUAAAUCUAACUAAGCAGAAUUAAUAGUGUGAAAGUGGCUACAUUAUUGAAAGUCAUCUACAGAUUCAAUCUAAUCCCCAUCAAAUUCCAGUAAUGUUCUUCACAGAACUAGAAAAAUAAUCCUAAAAUUCAUAUUGAAAAACAAAAGCUCCCAAAAGCUAAAGUGAUCCUUACCAAAUAGAGGAGAAAUGCUGUUAAGUAUCACUAUGCCUUAUUCUAAAUUAUACACAGAGCUGUUGUAACAAAAACAGCAUGAUGGCACAAAAUGGAAUUUAGACCAAUGGAAUAGAAUAGAGGACCCAUACAAAAAUUUAAGUAGCUAAAGUGACCUGAGUUUGACAAAGUUGUCAAAAACACACAUUGGAGAAAAGGCAGACACUUUAACUAAGAGUGCUGGGAGAACUGGAUGUCUACAUGGAGAAGAAUACUAGAUCCAUAUCUCUCACCUUGCGAAGUCCUUAAGUGGAAGAUACAAAACUCUGAUAUUGUUAGAAUAAAAGACAAACAAACAAACAAACAAACAAUACUUUCCAAGCUAUAAGCUAAAGUGAGGACGUUCUGAACAGGUCUCUAGGCUCCCACAAAAUGGCCAAGAAACUGAUAAGCACAAAUGAGACCUCAUGAAAUAAAAAAGUUUCUGUACAGAAAAGGAAGCAGUCAGCUGAGUGAAGAGAACCUACAAAAUGGGAUAGAAUUUUGGCUUACUCUCAGGAGUAUAUGCUGUGGAUGUGGGGGGCACCAUUUCAUGAGCUGGACCUUGGACCAAGUGAGAAAGGGAGAGACAGCUGAACACUAGCAUGAAUGUAUUAGUUCACUGUUUUCUGCUCUUGCUAUGGAAGUAAUGUGACUGUUUCAAGUUACUGCUACCUAGACUUGCCCACAAUGAUGGCCUGGUGUUAUGAGCCAAAUAAAUAUAUUCUCUCUAAA